rnacentral:rRNA from 1 species
GAUCAUGGCUCAGGAUGAACGCUAGCGACAGGCUUAACACAUGCAAGUCGAGGGGCAGCACGGUGUAGCAAUACACUGGUGGCGACCGGCGCACGGGUGAGUAACACGUGUGCAACCAACCCCGUACCGGGAGAUAACCCGCGGAAACGUGGACUAACAUCCCAUAAGACUCUAGAGCCGCAUGGCUCUGGAUUUAAAAUUCCGGUGGUACGGGACGGGCACGCGCGACAUUAGGUAGUUGGCGGGGUAAGGG